UACGAAGGGGGCUAGCGUUGUUCGGAAUUACUGGGCGUAAAGGGCGCGUAGGCGGUUGCUCAAGUCAGGCGUGAAAGCCCCGGGCUCAACCUGGGAAUAGCGCUUGAGACUGGGCGGCUUGAGUUCGGGAGAGGUGAGUGGAAUUCCCAGUGUAGAGGUGAAAUUCGUAGAUAUUGGGAAGAACACCGGUGGCGAAGGCGGCGACCUGGUCCGAUACUGACGCUGAGGCGCGAAAGCGUGGGGAGCAAACAGG
rnacentral:rRNA from 1 species